rnacentral:rRNA from 1 species
GACGAACGCUGGCGGCGUGCUUAACACAUGCAAGUCGAACGGAAAGGCCCCUUUGGGGGUACUCGAGUGACGAACGGGUGAGUAACACGUGAGUAACCUGCCCUAGACUUCGGGAUAACUUCAGGAAACUGGGGCUAAUACCGGAUAGGAAUCCUUGCUGCAUGGUGGGGGUUGGAAAGCUUCGGCGGUUUUGGAUGGACUCGCGGCUUAUCAGCUUGUUGGUGGGGUAGUGGCUUACCAAGGCUUUGACGGGUAGCCGGCCUGAGAGGGCGACCGGCCACAUUGGGACUGAGAUACGGCCCAGACUCCUACGGGAGGCAGCAGUGGGGAAUAUUGCACAAUGGGCGGAAGCCUGAUGCAGCAACGCCGCGUGCGGGAUGACGGCCUUCGGGUUGUAAACCGCUUUCAGCAGGGGCGAAGCUUGUGGUGACGGUACCUGCAGAAGAAGCACCGGCUAACUACGUG